rfam:Lachnobacterium bovis DSM 14045 genome assembly, contig: IE72DRAFT_scaffold00024.24
UAAAAUGAGAGUUUGAUCCUGGCUCAGGAUGAACGCUGGCGGCGUGCUUAACACAUGCAAGUCGAACGAAGCGCAUUGUUUGAAUUCUUCGGAAGGAAGAUAAUGUGACUGAGUGGCGGACGGGUGAGUAACGCGUGGGUAACCUGCCAUGUACAGGGGGACAACAGUUGGAAACGGCUGCUAAUACCGCAUAAGCGCACGAGAUUGCAUGAUCUAGUGUGAAAAACUCCGGUGGUAUAUGAUGGACCCGCGUCUGAUUAGCUAGUUGGUAAGGUAACGGC